rnacentral:lncRNA from 1 species
AAAAUCAGUCCUAAUUCUCCACAACAAUCAAUAAGAUGACAUCGGGACUUGCAAAAUAAUAUUUAGGAUCAAAUAGAGAUGAGAGAAUGCGAAUUUCACGUGACCAUACCUGGAAGAGCCAAUCUUUGAGGAGAAUUGCUCAGCUUCAAACGAGAAGGAUGCGUGCUAUCAGUCCCUCUCUCUGUACUUCCCUUCAAGACGAUCUCCAAAAAUCUUCAAAAAUCUACUCCUAUCU